rnacentral:other from 1 species
CAUCCCCUGCGCGAUUGGUGAUGGAUCCACCAUUUCGUAGAGCCAACUCUUAUCCCGCGGGAGUCCGGAUUCCAUUCACCCGUGCAAGCCUCGCCAGUACGAGGAAGCUGACGGUGCAUGGAGAGGGCACCCACCUAGUACCUGUUGGUUCUAGCCGGGAGCGGUCCACACGGUCGAGCGGGGGAUGC